UACGUAGGGUGCAAGCGUUAAUCGGAAUUACUGGGCGUAAAGCGUGCGCAGGCGGUUUUGUAAGUUUGUCGUGAAAGCCCCGGGCUCAACCUGGGAAUUGCGAUGAAGACUGCAAGGCUUGAAUCUGGCAGAGGGGGGUGGAAUUCCGCGUGUAGCAGUGAAAUGCGUAGAGAUGCGGAGGAACACCGAUGGCGAAGGCAGCCCCCUGGGCUAGCACUGACGCUCAGGCACGAAAGCGUGGGGAGCAAACAGG
rnacentral:rRNA from 1 species